GUUUCAAUUCCUCAUAGGCAGGCUAUCGGCCAAUAUCUUUUAAAACCUGUUCCGGCAAAUUUUUUGUG
rnacentral:sRNA from 1 species